rnacentral:rRNA from 1 species
GUAGUUGGUUAGGUAAUGGCUUACCAAGCCGUUGAUCGGUACGGGUUGUGAGAGCAAGAGCCCGGAGAUGGAACCUGAGACAAGGUUCCAGGCCCUACGGGGUGCAGCAGGCGCGAAACCUCCGCAAUGUGAGAAAUCGCGACGGGGGGAUCCCAAGUGCCAUUCUUAACGGGAUGGCUUUUCAUUAGUGUAAAGAGCUUUUGGAAUAAGAGCUGGGCAAGACCGGUGCCAGCCGCCGCGGUAACACCGGCAGCUCUAGUGGUAACAAUUUUUAUUGGGCCUAAAGCGUCCGUAGCCGGUUUAAUAAGUCUCUGGUGAAAUCCUGUAGCUUAACUGUGGGAAUUGCUGGAGAUACUAUUAGACUUGAGACCGGGAGAGGUUAGAGGUACUCCCAGGGUAGAGGUGAAAUUCUGUAAUCCUGGGAGGACCGCCUGUUGCGAAGGCGUCUAACUGGAACGGUUCUGACGGUGAGGGACGAAAGUUAGGGGCGCGAACCGGAUUAGAUACCCGGGUAGUCCUAACUGUAAACGAUGCGGACUUGGUGUUGGGGUGGCUUUGAGCUGCUCCAGUGCCGAAGGGAAGCUGUUAAGUCCGCCGCCCGGGAAGUACGGUCGCAAGACUGAAACUUAA